rnacentral:lncRNA from 1 species
UUCGUAUCCCGGUGGUGAAGAGGAGGCAGUAUCAGCUUGAUGUUACCUGUUCGAUCCCCAGUCUUGCUUGAUUGCAUGGGUAGCUGCGACUCAGCGUCAAUAUGUUUGUAAAUUUUGUCACCUAAAUAAAUUAUUAUUAGUGUGAUUUUAGGGUCGAGAGGGUUUACCCAUGUAUGGUUUUGUACUGUUAUAUAAAGUUGACGAGCAAAAAUAUUUUCACAUAUAAAUAUUUUAUUUAUGUAGGUUCAUG